GAUGAACGCUAGCGGGAGGCCUAACACAUGCAAGCCGAACGGUAGAGACCCGUCGGAAUCGUGAGCGCGGCUUACGGGUGGGGGACACGCGUGCAACCUGCCUUUAUCAGGGUGAGAGCCUAUCUAAGGGAAGAUUAAUACCCCAUAAUAUAUUUGAUGUCAUCAUUAGAGAUGGAAAGCAUUGUCGGAUAGUUGUGGGCAGGCGCAAGAUUGAAUAGUUGGUGAGGUAACGGCUGACUAAGUCGGUGAUUUUUAGGGGGCCUGAGAGGGUGAUCCCCCACACUGGUACUGGGACAAGGGCCAGUCUCCUACGGGCGGCAGCAGUGAGGGAUGUUGGAGUAUGGGUUAGCGCCUGAUCCAGCCAUCCCGCGUGAAGGAAGACGGCCCUAUGGGUUGUAACCUUCUUUUGUACAGGGAUAAUCCUACUCUCGGGAGAGUAGCUGACGGUAAUGUACGAAUAAGCACCGGCUAACUACGUG
rnacentral:rRNA from 1 species